rnacentral:rRNA from 1 species
GUGGGGAAUUUUGGACAAUGGGCGCAAGCCUAAUCCAGCAAUGCCGCGUGCAGGAAGAAGGCCUUCGGGUUGUAAACUGCUUUUGUACGGAACGAAACGGUCCUGGUUAAUACCUGGGGCUAAUGACGGUACCGUAAGAAUAAGCACCGGCUAACUACGUGCCAGCAGCCGCGGUAAUACGUAGGGUGCGAGCGUUAAUCGGAAUUACUGGGCGUAAAGCGUGCGCAGGCGGUGCUGUAAGACAGGCGUGAAAUCCCCGGGCUCAACCUGGGAAUUGCGCUUGUGACUGCAGUGCUGGAGUACGGCAGAGGGGGAUGGAAUUCCGCGUGUAGCAGUGAAAUGCGUAGAUAUGCGGAGGAACACCGAUGGCGAAGGCAGUCCCCUGGGCCUGUACUGACGCUCAUGCACGAAAGCGUGGGGAGCAAACAGGAUUAGAAACCCUGGUAGUCC